rnacentral:rRNA from 1 species
CGUAGGUGAACCUGCGGAGGGAUCAUUACCGAGUUAGGGUCUCACCGGCCCGAUCUCCCAACCCUUUGUCUACUUGACCAUCGUUGCUUCGGCGAGCCCGUCCUCACGGACCGCCGGGGGGUCUUUGUACCCCUUGGCCCGCGCUCGUCGACAGCCCCCAAAUUUAAAAAUCUUAACUAAACGUGUCUUGAAUCUAAGUAUUAUUGUUAAAUAAAAACAAAACUUUCAACAACGGAUCUCUUGGUUCUGGCAUCGAUGAAGAACGCAGCGAAAUGCGAUAAGUAAUGCGAAUUGCAGAAUUCCAGUGAGUCAUCGAAUCUUUGAACGCACAUUGCGCCCUUUGGUAUUCCGAAGGGCAUGCCUGUUCGAGCGUCAUUAUCACCCCUCAAGCCCUCGGCUUGGUGUUGGACGGUUUGGUGGAGACCCCCUUUGCGGGCUUCUACCCCUCCCAAAGACAAUGACGGCGGCCUCGUUGGACCCCCGGUACACUGAGUUCUUCACGGGACACGUAUCGGACACAUGGGUUCACGGGACACGGUCUGCCUCCCCUCAGGGAGAAUCUUUUUUAUCAAGGUUGACCUCGGAUCAGGUAGGGAUACCCGCUGAACUUAAGCAUAUCAAUAAGCGGAGGAAAAGAAAC